rnacentral:lncRNA from 1 species
AUCCUCCAUAGGAUGGUUACAGUUUGUGCAAAAAGUGUUCUCGGAUAAGAACUGAUUAAACAAAUGAGAUUUAAGGUUGCUAGCAUUAUUUCUGAGUUGACAAUGACUUAUAUUAAGUUUCCUUAUCCCAUAGUUGAAAGGUUUAAAAAUAUCAUCAGUCCUAUAAAACUUAUCCAGUCCACUUCUAAAUAUACCCAAACUUGGUGAUUUUUGUAAACUCAAAGGAAGACUAUUCCAAAGUCUUAUAGUGGAAGGAAUGAAACUAUUAAAAUAAGAGCUAGUUCUAGCAAGAGGCGGGUGAAAAGUGUUAUUUUCAUUCCUCAAAGUAUAAGGGGUUUGUCUGGGAAGAUAUGGCUGGACUAACUCAUAUAAGUAUGCAGGUGUCAUCCCAUUUAAUAUUUUGUAGAAUAGUAUAAGCUUAUGUUUAUUACGUCUAUUCUCCAGAGUUUCUAAACCUAAUUCAAUAUAAAGUUUUUGUCUGGAGGAAUUACGUCGUAAUCCUGUAAUAAUUCUAGCAGCUUCUAUCUGAAUAUUUUCAAGAAGCUCAGUCUCAUGCUGGGAGCAAUUGCCCCAAAUAACAUCACCAUAUUCUAAUAUAGGUCUAAUAAAAGCAUAAUAAAUACGUAUAAGUGAACUCCUAUCUAAUAAGUGUUUAACUUGACGAAGCACAGAAAGACGAGAGCAUGCUUUUUUAUAAAUAAUAUCAAUAUGCGUGUGCCAUGAAGCUGAUGACUGAAAUGUUAUCCCAAGAUGACAGUGAAUAUUUAUUUGCUCAACCUCUUAGCCAUUUAUCCCAAAAAAAUACAGGUGGAUGCUCCCUUUCCCUUCUAGUAAAUACAAUAUUUUUAGUUUUCUUAGAAUUAAAUUGAACAGCCCAUGAUUUUGCCCAAUUUGAGAUAACAUCCAAGUCAUCAGUCAAAGAAGCAGCCGCUACAGCAUGAUCAUCAUCUACUAUGACAAAUAAAGAGGUGUCAUC